CCAAAUUGGUGUGGGGAUAGGUGGAAGUGAAAUAAAUUCAGUAGAUCGGAUUUCAGUGCUCAGGUUGUUGUGAUUCUACACAAGCGCCAGAAGAAGUGAAAUUCUUCGGAUACCAACUACACAGGAGACUCACAGUGUUGAGAAAGCGCGUGAGGACUUGAUGGUACAUCUCAACCAUGCAGUGGAUGCCUCUCCUCAUAACCACCCUUGCUCUCUUAGAAGUGGUCGCUAUGAAGAAAUGGAACUUUGGUUAUGGUCUUUUGAGCGAGACAAACUUGAAAGCUGGUGAUUAUUUUCGGACUUCCCGAACUGACCCGUUCCACGUGUUCGCGGUGGAUGAGGAAACGGUUAUUUAUGGUUACAAAGGGUCAUGUCACGGUAUUGACCUCUGGACAACACUCAUUGGGAAGAACAAAUAUUCCAAGUGGGCUAAAGGAAUGAUGGUCCAGAAAGAAAAAAUAGACAACAGCAAGAGUUACUGUAAUUUUGAUCCUGCAAUUGGUGCUGCACUCGCCAAGAGGCUGAUUGGUAAAAAGCUGCCAUAUAAUCGCAAUUCAUGCAACACUUACACCUAUCGGAGAUACUUUCUGCGAGGCAAGGCUGUUUGGAACACCUGUUGGUACCAAGUCACCUUUGGAGGACUGUCAAAAGGUUGUCCCUUAGCACGGGAACUGCAUGGCCUAACCGUAGCACACGUGGAACAUCCAGAUUUUGUACUUCGGGACAAUGAUGGCAUUGAGUACAAGAUCAGUGACUUCAAAGAAUACCCGAAGUAUUUUAACCUCUUCGGCAACUGGACACGGUCAUAAAAAAACAACAAUGGCACAGUUACCCGUUUUAAGGGCCGAAUCUUAAAAAUCGAAAUCAUAGUUCUCACAAAGAGUUAAUUAAAUUGAUUUAGUUGUGUUUAGUUGAUUUAUUCCUAUUAAAAUUUCACGAGAAACGCAAUACUACCAAUUGUAUUGGGUAAAAUCAACUUCUGAGCUGAAAAAUAACUCUACAGUCAAGACCGCGAUAAAGAAGCAUCAAGUGAGUGUAAACUGAAAAGUGUCAAGAAUGUAAUUUUUAGCCCAAAAUCAUGGCAAUGUUGCUGAUAUAGACAGAGUUCAACAGAAACGCACCGUGUCACUUGCGGGGGGGGGGGGGGAAGUACUUUUGGAUUCAACCAAAUGUAUAUUUAUAACCAUAAUUAUUUUGCUGACUGUA
rnacentral:lncRNA from 1 species